ensembl:snoRNA SNORD83 Small nucleolar RNA SNORD83
GUUACAUGAUCCCUUCAGAACUGUGAGUGCUUGUCACUAAGAUGACCUCUGUCACCCUUGACUGAUAGCC